CAUAGCGACUAUCGUGGCAUAUCAAUAAGCGGAGGAAAAGAAACUAACAAGGAUUCCCUUAGUAACGGCGAGUGAAGCGGGAAGAGCUCAAAUUUGAAAUCUUCAAGGUUCUACCUUGACGAAUUGUAGUUUAUAGAAGUGUUUUCUGUUAGUAGGGUGGCAAAAGUUCUUUGGAAUAGGACAUCAUAGAGGGUGAGAAUCCCGUAUUUGACCGUUACUUUCCAGCUGUGUGAUACACUUUCAAAGAGUCGGAUUGUUUGGGAAUGCAGUCCAAAAUGGGUGGUAAAUUUCAUCUAAAGCUAAAUAUUGGCGAGAGACCGAUAGCGAACAAGUACCGUGAGGGAAAGAUGAAAAGAACUUUGAAAAGAGAGUUAAACAGUACGUGAAAUUGUCAAAAGGGAAGCGUUUGACACCAGUGUUGUUUAUCGAAAAUCAAUUAAAAAAGGCCGGAUUUUGUGUUGUAUUGACCUUAAAAGCUUUCUUCACUCUUUUCUUGUCUUUUUUAAUGCACUUUUCGUUUAACAAGUCAACAUCAGUUUCUUUUGUUGUAAAAGGGUCAUUGGAAGGUGGCUUUCUUUUCGGAGAAAGUGUUUAUAGCCUUUGAUCUCUGCAACCGGAGAGACUGAGGUCUGCAGCGUAGACUCUUCGGGGUUAGAUACAUUUGUGCUAAGCUAUAGCUUUUUAUAGACAACUUGUUGACUAUAUUUAGUCUUGUGGCUUACUCGCUUAUGCUAUUUUACCUACGCUUAGGAUGUUGAUAGUCACAGCGUGUAC
rnacentral:rRNA from 1 species